rnacentral:rRNA from 1 species
CGGACGGGUGAGUAAUGUCUGGGAAACUGCCCGAUGGAGGGGGAUAACUACUGGAAACGGUAGCUAAUACCGCAUAACGUCGCAAGACCAAAGAGGGGACCUUCGGGCCUCUUGCCAUCGGAUGUGCCCAGAUGGGAUUAGCUAGUAGGUGGGGUAACGGCUCACCUAGGCGACGAUCCCUAGCUGGUCUGAGAGGAUGACCAGCCACACUGGGACUGAGACACGGCCCAG